rnacentral:rRNA from 1 species
GUGAUAUGCUUGUUUCAAAGAUUAAGCCAUGCAUGUCUAAGUAUAAGCGAACUUAUACAGUGAAACUGCGGAUGGCUCAUUAAGACAGUUUGAAUUUAUUUGAUGAAUGUAUGAGAAUACUACUUGGAUAACCGUAGUAAUUCUAGAGCUAAUACAUGCAACGACGCCCGACCGUUUCACUACGGAAGGGCUGUAUUUAUUGGAUACCAAAACCAUCCUUCCCUCGGGAAGUUUUGUUUGAUGAUUCACAAUAACUGAUCGGAUCGCCACUGUGGUGGCGACAGGUCAUUCAACAUUCUGCCCUAUCAGCUUUCGAUGGUUGUGUAGUGGACAACCAUGGCCAUAACGGGUAACGGAGAAUCAGGGUUCGAUUCCGGAGAAGGAGCUUGAGAAUUGGCUACUACAUCUAAGUAAGGCAGCAGGCGCGCAAAUUACCCAAUCCCGAUUCGGGGAGGUAGUGACAAAAAAUAACAAUACCGGGCCUUUUUGGGCUUGGUAAUUGGAAUGAGGGAGAGUUAAACGGACCAUCGAGUAUCCAUUGGAGGGCAAGUCUGGUGCCAGCAGCUGCGGUAAUACCAGCUCCAAUAGCGUAUAUUAAAGUUGUUGCAGUUAAAAAGCUCGUAGUUGGACUUGUGUGCGCUGUCCGCGGGUGGCCUGCGCCCAAAAGGGCGUUUCGGUUCGGCCCCGGUGGCGCCUUGAAAUCUGCAGCUGGGGGGACGUUGGCCUUAACUGGUCGGCGACCGCACGCCGGCUGCUCGGUUACUGUGAGAAAAUUAGAGUGUUCAAGGCAGGCAUUGGGUGCAAUUGAAUACAUUAGCAUGGAAUAAUAAAAUAUGGCUCCUGCCGUAUUUUGUUGGUUUUGACUGGUGGGAGUAAUGAUUGAUAGGGACGGUUGGGGGUGCUAGUAUUGAGCGGCCAGAGGUGAAAUUCAUGGAUUCGCUCAAGACUAACUUAUGCGAAAGCAUUCACCAAGGACGUCCUCUUUAAUCAAGAACGAAAGUUGGGGGAUCGAAGACGAUCAGAUACCGUCGUAGUCUCAACCAUAAACUAUGUCGACUUGGGAUCGGCGGUAGUUUUUUCAUUAAGACACUGUCGGGACCACGGGAGAAAUCAAAGUGUCUGGACUCUGGGGGAAGUAUGGUCGCAAGGCUGAAACUUGAAGGAAUUGACGGAAGGGCACCACCAGGAGUGGAGCCUGCGGCUUAAUUUGACCCAACACGGGGAAACUUACCAGGUCCAGAGAUGUAGAGGAUUGACAGAUUGAAGCUCUUUCUUGAUCACUUCGGUGGUGGUGCAUGGCCGUUCUUAGUUGGUGGAGUGAUUUGUCUGGUUAAUUCCGUUAACGAACGAGACCUCAGCCUGCUAGUGUAGUCGGCUGGA